UUAUACAGAAUGAAAACAGUAGGACUAUAUCAUUUUUAAGUGCGUUGGAGCCCUUUUUAUUUUAAUAUAUUUAUUUAUACAAUUAUAUGUACAUAUAUAUAUAAGUAGACCCUUAUAUGUUAUAACUCCUCUCAUUCUUAUGCCACAAUAAAGAGAGAGAGAGAGAGAGUGAGAGAAAGAAAGAAGUGGUGUUUUGUGGGGUUAGUUGUGUUUCUGCAGCAGCUGAAGGAGGAAUCCAAAGGGAUCGCAUUGAUCCCAACUUACAAUUUAAUUUUUAAUUUUAUGGUUUCGUUUGGAUCAUGCAAUCUCUUUGGAUUUAUCCUUCCGUAGCUUAAUUAUUAUUUCAUUCAAUUCCUUCAUCAAAUUAAACCAAAACCGAACGAAGAAGUUCUCUAGAACUUGAACCAAUCUCGGGCUUCUCUACGUAAGGUAUGUACCUCCUAGCGCCCGGCUUAUGAAGAGAACAUGGCGAGGACUUGUCAACGACACCGACUGUUUUAGUGUGAAGUAAAAGGAGGAAGAUGAUACAGUGCAUGAUGUUAAGUGUCUAAGUGAUACAGAUAGAGAUAGUACAAGUGAAGCAAAAACAAAAUGUUGGCCAAGUCCCACAUUGACUAAAGAAAGAAGGUAUUAGCUGGUGAAGUUGUUUAUAAGCAGAAACUUGUUUAAUUAUUAAAGUAUGAUCCUUCAGGCAGUUAAUGGAAUAUGAUGAGUGGUCAUUUUUCGCAUAUGUUAUUGCGAAUUGGGUGUUCGCCCCAAGCCUAAUAUACGACAAUAUGGGCACCCCAAUUUUAUACCAUCUGAUCCCUA